rnacentral:rRNA from 1 species
UACGGAGGGGGGCUAGCGUUGUUCGGAAUUACUGGGCGUAAAGCGCACGUAGGCGGCUUUUGUAAGUUAGAGGUGAAAGCCCGGAGCUCAACUCCGGAAUUGCCUUUAAGACUGCAUCGCUAGAAUUGUGGAGAGGUGAGUGGAAUUCCGAGUGUAGAGGUGAAAUUCGUAGAUAUUCGGAAGAAACACCAGUGGCGAAGGCGACUCACUGGACACAUAUUGACGCUGAGGUGCGAAAGCGUGGGGAGCAAACAGG